rnacentral:lncRNA from 1 species
AGAGGGAAUCGCAAAAGGAGUAGCUUUGAAAAAAGAAACUAGAACCUUUUCUUUCUCACCCGUUUUCUCUUUUAGUCUUUUCGCUGUAAUUAUUUUCUCUCUCCUUACUUCUGUCUAAUAAAUAAUAUUCCAAUCAUAAAGCAAUCGAUUACAAAAUCAUUUACUCACCUCUGACAUGAACACUUUUCUUUUCCAGUUCAGCCAAAAGAGUCCCAUACCCUUCUGCCCCUU